AUAGACAGCAAAAAUUCUGAAAAAAAGGAUUCCUCAUUGACACAAAACUAGAAACUACUGUAGCGGUCAUCUAGUCCAGUGAUUUACUGUUGUGGCCAAGGAGACCUAGAACAGUCAUGCGACCUGGUCAAAGUCAUAUCACCUCAACAUCAGCUCCUGCCUGGAGUUUAUCUGGGCUUGGUUUGGGUAAAUUGAAAACCAUGGGACAAAGUGUUUGGCAUUUAUUACAGUCACCUGUACAUUUCUUCAUAAUCUAGAUGGAUGAAAUUAUAGAAGAACAAGAAGAUGAGAAUAUUUGUUUUUCUGCCCGGGACCUUUCUCAAAUUCGAAAUGCCAUCUUUCACCUUUUAAAGAAUUUUUUAAGGCUUCUGCCAAAGUUUUCCUUGAAAGAAAAGCCACAAUGUGUACAGAAUUGUAUAGAGGUCUUUGUUUCAUUAACUAAUUUUGAGCCAGUUCUUCAUGAAUGUCAUGUUACACAAGCCAGAGCUCUUAACCAAGCAAAAUACAUACCAGAACUGGCUUAUUAUGGAUUGUAUUUGCUGUGCUCUCCCAUUCAU
rnacentral:lncRNA from 10 species